CGCUCGGUGGCCUAGUGGUUAGAGCGUCCGUCUCGUAUGCGGGCGGUCGCGGAUUCGAACCCUGGCCGAGUCA